rnacentral:rRNA from 1 species
UACGGUGAAUACGUUCCCGGACCUUGUACACACCGCCCGUCAAGCCAUGGAAGCUGGGUGUACCUAAAGUCGGUAACCGCAAGAAGCCGCCUAGGGUAAAACUAGUAACUGGGGCU